AAUAAAAAAAAAUUAUCAUUAUAAAUGACAAAUAUUUUUUUUAUUCUUUAGUAUAUUUAUGGAAGUUUCCCUAAAAAAUAAGCAUUGAUGUCGAAGUGGCCUACGUUGAAAGGCAUUAUCGCAGUUUUGGUAUAAAUAUGUGUGCUCCUUCACUCUUAACUUUCAGGUACCAUCAUGCCUCUUUUAAGUCAAAAUUAUCAAUAAAAAUAUGGAUUUGGCUCCUCUUUUUUUAAAAAAAGAAACAAAAAGAUUUAAUCUUGUCAACCUUUUACUCAGCAAAUGGUAAACCUGGACGAUCUGAAGAUCAUUAUAAGCUUACAUUGUGUAUACAUGGGGAUUCAAAUUCUGCCGAGACAAAAUUGACGAUUGCAUUAAGAACAUUCCCAAUGACUUCUUUUCGCACGGAUUUUGUUCAGUGGAUGACAAAAGGAUUUUCAGUAACACCAUGUUUCACGAUGAAAAAUGAAUUGUGACCUUUUGAUCACCGGAUUGUUCAUGCCAAGGGCAGACUGAUGGAAACUCAAAAGUAGAAGAAUAUCAGCCCACAGAAUUACAGAGCAAACAAAGUAUUGUUUUUAUCGUAACUAUAACAAAUAACAAGAAGAAAACUAUCUAGAGGUAGAUAUUCAGAUAAAGGAAAAGAAAUUCAUCUAGAGGUAGACAUGCAAAUAAAGAAACGAUUAUAACCGGUGGAGCAUAGAGCUAGAACAAAACAGAAAAGUGAUGGUAAAGGAUUUUCACUUGACGGUGCAAAAUCACAAUUGAUAGGUACCUUUUUGAAGAAUGAAGAUAGUAAUGUCAAAAUUACAUGGCAGAAAAAUCAAUCUAAACAUGGUAACCUCACAUCAAGAAACUACCUCAAUCACAUGAUUUUGCACAGACCAAAUUAUUAUUGUUUUGCCAUAUUUAGAGGUAAUUGUUUCUUAAAAGCUGUAACCACAAUGUACGAUCCAAUUCUCUCUAACAUCAAAGUGGUGUUCAACAUGUUUUAUGUUAAAACAUAACUGAUAGCUUGUACUAACAUUAUUUUCUUUUGACUCUAUAUGAAGAACUUGAAUCAGUA